AAAUUUAUUUGUUAUUUUCUUAAUUACAUAAAGAUUAAUUGAAGUUAAUUUAUUCUAUAACUAAAAUUUUUAUUUUAUUUGCAUUGUAUUAUUCUAUUUUCUAACUAUUAUGCAAUAAUAAUUAACAUAUUGUACAUAUAGUGUUACAUAUGCAUUACCUAUUGUAUAUGUAAUAACAUAAUAUUAAACAUAAAUGAUGACUAUAAGUUAAUAAGAAAAUAAAAUUAUUUUAAUGUUACAAAAAACACAAUUAUUAUGUAGUUUUUCUUAUGUCUCGUUUACAAUUGGUUGAGCAUUGGCUGGUCGAGCUGAAAAAAGCUAAAGGCUGAAACUUGAUAUCAUCAACAGCAAAACCUCCAUUACUAGCACUUCCUUCGAGAAUAAGUCGAUAUGGGGUUCGCGCUUCAAUCGUCACUUGGGCUGGCAUCCAAACUGGCCGUGGAUUAUUCAAUCCUUUAGCUGUCAAUGACCAUAACUGUAAUAAUGAAGUUUCAACAUAUGUACCGAUUGUUCCUGCUCCUCCUCAUCUUGGCUUUCUUCAUCAGCGCUCUCGCUGGGCAUCUUGAUCACUCGCAAAGCAGUGGAUUCUUCCACACCAAAGGCAGCGUACCAGAAAGUAAAACACAUGAACUCUUCAUCGGGCGAAACGUUGAUGACGGGCGAUCGCAAUUGAACCUCCGUCGAUUGCUUAUUUGUCGUGAAAAUGUCGAAGAAGACGAAAUCACCAGACGCGCCGAAGGUCCUAUCCAAUAGUUGAGCCGGUCGAUGAGUUUGAAACGCACGCUGCCACAUCACAGAUCGGUUGUUUGCGGAUACAGUUAUGUUUUCCCAUCCACACAAAUUCUUCUCGAAACUGCAAUCCUCCGCGCGAACGGUUGCACUCAAUGGUUUUACUGUAAUGAGAAAGAGAAGAAAUAAACUCGAAAAGGAAGAGAAAAAUAUUUACCGGUGCAAUUGCCUGUAUAAAAGGAGAUAUCAUCGAUUCCUAUGCUACCACUCGCUCUAUUCGGACCCCAUGUGCCCUCGAAGAUGAUAUUGAAAUUCGUCUUUUCAUUGAUGUUAGCCUGAGCAAAACUCCACGUGGGACCUUGAUUGUUGUACAGCUGCCAUAUCGGUUUGGCUUCCGUUGAAAUAUCGCCGACCGCUUGCACAUAUAAUCGAAAUCUACUCACCCAAACUGGGACCUGUGGAAUCGAUAAAUGGCUCGAACAUAAAGUACCAGAACGUAAUGCAGAGCGGUUCUUCGCUGCCCUUCAUCUCUCGACUAACUAAUUGAGCGGUACCACCUCCAGACGAUCGCGAGGCACCCCGAAGACGUGCGAGUCCUAGAAAGAAUUCGUUGCGUCGAUUGAUCGUGUGUCCGUUACUGUACGGUUUCCUCUGAUUUCUCGGGCUUAACACCUGGGUGGACACUCUCUCCCAUUCGACGCGAUCCGGAUCCCGCGAAUUGAUCCACUCGCAUUCGUCGACCUCGAAAGUGCAAUCUCGUGGAAUCGGACCGGCUACUUGCGGCGAAACUUUCGGACCAACAUAAAAUAUUAGAAGAAAAUUUGCAGAGACAUUGAAAUUUAAUUUUCAAUCAUUAAAAUUUUAAUCGAACUUCAAGAACCUACCAGGACAAGCACCUGGCCCGUACGAGAUAUCAUCGAUAGCGAUAUCUCCCUGACCCGUAUUCCCUACCGAUGCUUCGAAAAUUAGCUGAAAAUCAUCGAGGGAACUAAUAGUGACUUGCGACAUGAACCAGGCAUUGCCGGCAUUUCCAGAGAGACUCCAGAUCUCCUGAGUGUCCGAACUGCGAAAGUGACGCAAUAGGAGCUUCAGAAAGCCUACUCCGGAUCCAAACAUGUGAAACCAGAAGUGCAUACACAUUGGCGUAUCAGCGCUAGUUGGCGGGAAGCUCGCGCUUAUCAAUUUCGCCGUGUCACCGGGUCUUCGUGGAAAGCUGGAGUCGAUGAAAGCGUAACCACCUGCUGUGGCACGGUCACUGGAACUGUCCAUUGCUGGCCCGGUCGUGGGAUUUCCGCUUCCGCGACUCUGAAAAUGUGCUUUCUCAAGUUCACUCACUAUAGUCCAGUCAAAAUCAUCUUCCGCGUCGUUGUUCCAGUCGCAGAAACCACCGGCAAAGUUGCAGAAUCCAAUACAUGACGUACCAGCUUGUAAAUCUAUGUCAUCGACGGCAAUAUAUCCACGAUAGAGACGCGAUGGGUCCGUGGAAUCCACCGGAACGCCUUCAAUAAUCACCUAAUUACCAAGAUUUUGCCUGAGAUUUUACAGAGAUAUUUAUAAUAAACUAUUACACGAGACAUGUUAAAUUCCCAUCAUAUCAUUUGGAUAUAAAAAAAUAGCUCUCUCAGAGUACAAAUUUAUUGAUGUCAAUUUAUAUUUGCUAAUUAAAUCUCUGACUGAUUAUAAGAAUCAAGUUAUAUAUAAUAAUGUACCGAGUGUAUCUCAGGAUAAGUGUACAAUAUUUGAGCUUGCUGCCAUACUCCAAGUGUGUAAUAUUGUGCGUGCCAUAGUACGCGCUCUUCCACGAUUUCUACUGGUUCGCAGGGUCUCGUCACUGUGACAUUGUCUAUUCGAGGCAAUUCCUCGGUUUCUUCCUUCUUAAAUGAGAACUCGUCUACUCCGAGAUGAAGCAAUACCCGUAAUCCUGCAAUACUGAGACCAUCCAUGGUGUAUUUGAACAUGAAACAGGUACCAGUGACUCCAGUGCUACCCAGCUGAGGACUGUGAAGAAGACCUCCCGGGCUUCUGAACUUCAGAUCUUUUGAAGAUAUCUCGGAUGUCUCCAGAAAGGCAUAUCUAAUACAAUAAUCCUCAAAAUUAUUCAUUGAAACAUGAAUAGGAAAUUAAAGAUAGCUAUUACAUCUUUCUGGAGUAUGUAAUGUGUUGGUCGUGGCGUCAGUCGAUGGUCCACCUACCCAGUUUGUACCCAUGCCUGUACCUGAAAUCCAGUCCAAAGCGCCAUUACCAUUUUGCCACUCGCAAAGUGGCAUUGAUGGAACCGGUCCGAAAUCGCAGAAGACUUCAUCAACGGUGACCGUCGGAGGUGGUGCGGUAAUCGUAGGAUAUCUUACAAAUAUAAAAUUACAGGCUUUUCUUCAUAAUGCUUAAAAACCUUUGCGUGGAAGAAUUUCUUUGCGCAGUAGGAUGCAGAGAUCUGGGUGAUAAAGAUGUUUCUGUGGUAAAAGGCGCUGUGCUGCGGGUGGGCAGGAUAUCCGGUCUGCCUGGCCAUUGCCUGGGUUCGAUGCGCUCCACUUCGUCCAGCGGUUCGCGAUCGCGAUCGACGGAAUUGAUGACGGGAGGCUGACCUGGAUCGACGCCGGAUUCUGAAUCGUUCAUCGCAUCAUUGAAGUCUUCAUUGCUUGCGGUGUUUCUCGUCGAACCGGAAGUCACAUUAACUGCGCCCACAAGAUCGAUUUGUUCUCCGAGCAUAGCCGCUGGAUACCAAGUCAUACUCCAAGAUAAGGAAUACGACCAGCAGCUCAGUAAUAAAAUCCACCACAUGUCUGGAUACGAUUGCACUAUCUGAAUUCACUUUGCCUAUAAAGAUUUGCACUUGGAUGCAUACGUCAUGUAUCGUUUAUUAUUCGAUCAUCGGAAUCUUCGAAGACCAUCAACGAUGAUUUUGACAUGGAGUUCGUCUGGCAGAAUACUUUUCCCUAAAGUAUACAAAGGAACUGUUUCAUACGUAAAAUACGAUAACCGAAUUAUUGGAAUAACGUUAAAUGACAAAGAUCAACUUUAAAUCGAUGGAUUAAACGCAAGAGAUAAAGCCACACUUUGUGUAAGCUCUAUUUUAAAUACCAAAAACUAUAUCUUACUUAUGAAUUGUUAGCUUAUUUUUGCAUUAUACUCUUUGAGAACUCUUCUUUUAUUUUCACUGUCGCGAACAAAUGUUCGGAUGGCACUAACAGACUGACAAAGUGAUAUCUGUACAAACGAAAUGCAAACUGUAGGGUUUUUCAGGACCGCGAUGGAACGAAGCGGUGUAUCCACGUAGUUCCGGCCUUAACUUCCGGUCGUUACGCUUCCAGUAUGUUUGGGGCCCGUUCGUCGCGAUAGCCAGUCGAACAAUGAAAUUCCAUCGAAGCAGAGUGCCGUAAUAACGUCGAGAUUAAAAUCUGAGCAUUUCCACUAGCGGUAAAUCGGUUCCGCAUAUCGCUUCCGAAACGAUGGGUUUUCAAUCAGUAGACAUAAUGUGCGUUCAAUCAUUCAUAAUUUAAUUUACAGAGGAUUAAUGUAGAGCAUAAUUACUUAAAAAAACACAGCUUACGUUAUACGAUAUAUUAUAAAAUAUGAGAAAUUAUUAAUUCAAAGAAUCGCAUAUCACAUGUAUAGUUUUUUAGAUAUCACAAUAUACAUAAUAUAAAGAUAAAA